UUGGAAAAAAGGUGUUGCAGGAAUUUCAUUAAUAUUUUAUUACUUUCAGUUAUUUUGGGUCGCUUGUGAAUAAUAAAUGCGCAGAGGUCGUGUAGUGUAGGUGUUGUAAGACAAAUACGUGAAAAAAUGGCAUAAGAUGGGCUGGACCGGCACAACCCUUUGAGUAUGUGUUAAGUAUCUCGGCAUCGUUGAUGGCUUGCCCGCUCGCUCGCCUGCUCGCCUGUCUACUUUACAACAAGAUUUAUCAUAUUUUUACGACUUAAUGCUAUUUGAAGGAUUAUUAAAUUAUGCAUGACGAUGUCGGGGUCAAUGUUUGUUACGAACCCCAGCUGCCGGACUUACAUGAAUGGGUUAGAAGUGACAGCGGCAAGAGUGCUUGAGCUACACAAGAGGGGGUUUUAUGAAAUAAAAGAAUUAUGCGAGGCUAUCAUGAGAGAAAAUUUAGGAACAAGCUCGUUUGACAUAAAGUUGAAUUGCUGCUGAACUGAGAAAUAUUCAAACCACACUGCAGGUGAGUAAGUAAAAUUUUUGACAUUGCUUUGAAGGUGUCUUCCUAAAUUCACUGUUUCUUUUUCUCCCAACAGCAUAACUUCCAAGCUUAAUGUGCACAGAAUCAAAACCCUUUUGCCUCCCCAACUCAUUUGGAAUGCCAAGCUUGGGUUUACUUACGUGGCAGCAGCUUACGAUUUAUCACCAAACCAAACAGCAAAUGGCAUAACAGUGUAGUGUUGCAAAACGGGCUGGCACACUUUUGAGCAAUUUGUCAAAAUGUGAAAAAACCUUGGAGUUGGUUAACAGCCAAAUGUGAGUCACGUCUUUGUCGUAUUGUGCACGGAAGAGGAAAGGAAAUUGCAGUGAAUGAAUGGCAAAUGAAAGAAAAAAUCAGGAGAAACGAAAAGGGAGCGAGAGGAAGGGAAACUGCAGUUAAUAAAUUGUGAGUAACAAGAGCAAAAUUGAGGGAACGAAAAGAGAGCGAGAGGAAGAAAAAAACAUGGAAGGAGAAGAAAGAGUGCGCCAAAAAG